rfam:Gossypium arboreum cultivar AKA8401 contig_152322_1, whole genome shotgun sequence.
CGGUGCAAUCAUACCAGCACUAAUGCACCGGAUCCCAUCAGAACCUUGCAGUUAAGCGUGCUUGGACGAGAGUAGUUCUAGGAAUGGUGACCUCGCGGGAAGUCCUUGUGUUGCACCCC